rnacentral:rRNA from 1 species
AACGAACGCUGGCGGCAGGCCUAACACAUGCAAGUCGAACGUGAAGCCACCUUUGGGUGGUGGCAAGUGGCAGACGGGUGAGUAACGCGUGGGAACGUGCCUUUCGGUUCGGAAUAACCCAGGGAAACUUGGGCUAAUACCGGAUACGCCCUCCAGGGGAAAGAUUCAUCGCCGAAAGAUCGGCCCGCGUCGGAUUAGCUAGUUGGUUGGGUAAUGGCCUACCAAGGCGACGAUCCGUAGCUGGUCUGAGAGGAUGACCAGCCAGACUGGGACUGAGACACGGCCCAGACUCCUACGGGAGGCAGCAGUGGGGAAUAUUGGACAAUGGGCGAAAGCCUGAUCCAGCCAUGCCGCGUGGGUGAAGAAGGCCCUAGGGUUGUAAACCCCUUUCAGCGGGGAAGAUAAUGACGGUACCCGCAGAAGAAGCCCCGGCUAACUCCGUGCCAGCCGCCGCCGUAA